AAAAGAAUAAGUGCAACAGAACAAACCAAUUGCAGGCAUUGAGCAAUUUAUAGAAACUAAUAAAACUGAUCCUCCCCAUGGAGCUAAGACUACUUACUCUGUUCUGGGAAGGCUUACUACAAAAUGUUAGAGGGUGUCUGCGGGAGGUUUUGUCCAUUCAUCCAGGGGAGCAUUUGUGAGGUCAGACACGGAACAGAGGGCCUGGCUUGCAAGGCUCUUUGAGAGAGCACCACUGCCUAGAGUCCAGUUCAGGUGCCCAUUGGGGAAGAGAUACCGUGACGGAGAGUCCAGUUCAGGUGCCCAUUGGGGAAGAGAUACCGUGACGGAGAGUCCAGUUCAGGUGCCCAUUGGGGAAGAGAUACCGUGACGGAGAGUCCAGUUCAGGUGCGCAUUGGGGAAGAGAUACCGUGACGGAGAGUCCAGUUCAGGUGCGCAUUGGGGAAGAGAUACCGUGACGGAGAGUCCAGUUCAGGUGCGCAUUGGGGAAGAGAUACCGUCUCGGAGAGUCCAGUUCAGGUGCGCAUUGGGGAAGAGAUACCGUCUCGGAGAGUCCAGUUCAGGUGCGCAUUGGGGAAGAGAUACCGUGACGGAGAGUCCAGUUCAGGUGCGCAUUGGGGAAGAGAUACCGUGAUGGAGAGUCCAGUUCAGUUGCUGUAGUUUAAUCAUCCACUUCCUCCUCAUCAGUG